AACUGCAGAGAGGUACGCUAUUAACACCUUGUCACAUACUUACCUCGUCAAUCAAGCGAUUUACGGAUUUAAUUGAUUCGGAUGCUUACGGAUUAAUAAGAUAAGAUCAGAUUAAUCUUUAGCCUUUUUUGGUGUAGCCUAUUGUCUUGAGUGUUUUGACUUUGAUUUUGUAUUUGAUAUUUUAUAGCAAUUAAGAUAAGCGUCUGCAUGAUGCAACAAUUUUGAAAUAAGUAGAAUGAAUGUUACUGUUUGAAUGAAUAAACGUUACUUUCUUAGUUCUUCGUUAUAGUUUCUUUGCAGCGUUUCAAGACUACGAUAAGGAUCCCCCAUUGGUCAGGCCGCAGUCAUCAUUACCACUUGAUGGCAAGAAGAAAGAUGUUGGAAGGAGAUCUGGAAAAAGAAGAAGAAGUAUUCCGGUCGGAUGGAGUCUUUCGGAGGUAUGUUGACGU